UGGGUGACUACCAAUCCCGGCAUGCUGCACGGCACCCCAUCCGUUAGGCGGCAACGCGGAGGAGCCGCGUUGCAUGCAGGGUUAUGUAGUCCGCUCCGGCUCGGGCCCGCAGGUGGGCGGGGCAGAGCCGGGUGGUUCGCGUCCGCUGAGGAGAAUGAUUCACAGAGGAGGGUUGGGAGGCAGCAGCUGGGUCCGCGAAAACCCUCUUGGAAGCCUGGACUCUGCUUCUCCGAGGCCGGGAGCGGGGGAGAAGCGCGCGCGGCCGCGGGCCUGACGCCGCCUCGCGGGCCCGCCGCGAGCCGGGCCUCCAGGAGCCGGGACGGCCGCGAGCGCCGGCGGCCGGGAGCGGUGACGUCGCGGGGUGAAAGUUGAGGGGCGGUGACGUCUGGCCGGCCGGGCGGAGGCUGGCGGGCUGAGCCCGAGGGAGGGAGGGAAGGAGGGAAGGAAGGAAGCUGGGAAGGAGCGAGCGAGCGGGGGCGCGAGGCGUUCACCUGGAGGCAGCGCUCGGGCGCGCGGGCGGCCGCGGCUCCCGCACCUGCGGCCAUGGACGAGGAGCGCGCGCUGGGCAUCGUCCGCGCCGGCGAGGCGGGCGCUAUCGAGCGGGUCCUGCGGGACUACAGCGACAAGCAUAGGGCUACCUUCAAGUUUGAGUCAACAGAUGAAGAUAAAAGAAAGAAACUCUGUGAAGGCAUAUUUAAAGUCCUUGUAAAGGAUGUCCCAACAACGUGUCAAGUGUCCUGCCUGGAAGUACUCCGUAUUCUCUCCAGGGACAAAAGGAUUUUAGUUCCUGUAACAUCUAAGGAAAAUAUGCAGAUACUGCUGAGACUCGCCAAGCUAAAUGAGUCCGAUGAUUCUUUGGAUAAGGUGUCCGAGUUCCCUGUUAUUGUGGAAUCGUUAAAAUGUCUGUGUAACAUAGUGUUCAACAGUCAGAUGGCACAGCAGCUCAGCCUGGAACUUAAUCUUGCUGCAAAGCUCUGUAACCUCCUGAGGAAGUGCAAGGACCGAAAAUUCAUCAGUGACAUAAAGUGCUUUGACUUGCGCUUGCUCUUCCUCUUGUCCCUUUUGCACACUGACAUCAGGUCACAGUUGCGCUACGAGCUCCAAGGACUACCGCUGCUCACCCAGGUCUUGGAAAGUGCCUUUAGCAUCAAGUGGACCGACGAGUAUGAGUCGGCCAUAGACCGUAACGGACCUCCUCUCUCACCUCAGGAGACAGACUGUGCCAUCGAGGCUCUCAAAGCGCUCUUCAACAUGACGGUAGACAGUUGGAAGGUGCACAAAGAGAGCGAUUCUCAUCAGUUCCGAGUCAUGGCAGCUGUCCUUCGCCAUUGUUUACUAAUCGUAGGUCCAACGGAAGACAAAACGGAAGAGCUGCACAGCAAUGCAGUCAAUCUUUUAAGCAAUGUUCCGGUCUCUUGUUUGGAUGUUCUCGUUUGUCCAUUAACCCAUGAAGAAACAGCCCAAGAAGCGACGACUCUGGAUGAGCUGCCCAGCGAUAAAACAGCUGAGACAGAGCCAGCUCUGAAAAACAGUCCUGUGGCGUACAAUGGCAUGAACAUGGAGGCCAUUCAGGUUUUGCUCAGUUUUAUGGAGAAGAGAAUAGACAAGGGAAGCAGCUAUAGAGAGGGCCUAACUCCGGUUCUCAGCUUGUUAACAGAGUGUUCCCGCGCCCACCGGAACAUCAGGAAAUUUCUCAAAGAUAAGGUUUUACCUCCUUUGAGGGACGUCACGAACCGACCUGAGGUUGGCUCGACUGUGAGAAACAAGCUGGUGCGCCUCAUGACACACGUGGACCUUGGCGUCAAGCAGAUCGCUGCUGAAUUCCUUUUUGUCCUUUGCAAAGAGAGAGUGGACAGCCUGCUGAAGUACACCGGCUAUGGGAACGCUGCAGGACUGCUGGCUGCCAGGGGCCUCUUGGCUGGAGGAAGAGGAGAUAAUUGGUACUCAGAGGAUGAGGACACAGACACCGAAGAAUACAAAAAUGCAAAACCAAACAUUAAUCUUAUCACUGGUCAUUUAGAGGAACCAAUGCCAAACCCUAUAGAUGAAAUGACAGAAGAACAAAAAGAAUAUGAAGCCAUGAAACUUGUCAACAUGCUUGAUAAACUUUCCAGGAGAGCAGAUGUGAAGGACCCGCACCAGGAUGGUGGUUAGCAACAGUGGCCCGUGCCAAAGCACUUACCAAAGUGAUGACUAAGACCCUGUCAUUAAUUCCAUGUGUCAAUACUGCCCUGUAGUACACAGAGCAGACAAGAAAGAAGAGCCCUUGAAAACAAGGGAAUGAUUUUUGAGUCGUUAUCAAGCUAAGUGGCAAGCGGGAAGCUGAAACUCGUAUAGAGAAGAGUUGCUUAAGCCAAUGGGCCUAAAGCCCGAUGGGACAAUAACGCCUUUGGAGGAAGCACUCAGCCAGUACUCAGUCCUCGAGGAGACCAGCUCCGACACGGACUGACGGCGCGGCCGGCUCUCGGAUCGCUUGUCUCAGCAGCUUUCCUCUGUAGCUCCAGGGGAAUCUUUUCUCUAAACAUGUACGCCCUUGCUUUGGCUAGAAACACAUUAACUGGUUUACUCGUUGAGAAUCCAGCGUAUUUAAGAGGUGAUCCUGUGUUUUUGCGACUUCGAAGCAUUUGUACCGAGCUGCAGGGGACGCGGCAGGGCUGGAGCAGAGCGGAGUCUGCCGUCGGGGAGCAGGAGGCCCUCACUGCGCGGCCACCUGGUCAAGCCGAGCCUGCAGGUCCCUCGCACAGAAAUUCCCAGCAUCCCGCGUGGCCUUGCCGCCCUCUGGCGCUCUCCUGUCCAGGCGGGAGGCGGCACAGGGCCAGCUCUCGGUGAGCGCUGAGCAGAGGGCUCGGCGGGGCUGGGACUGGCUGCGAGGAAGCCGAGCAGCAGCCCUGGACACCCAGCCCCGUCCUCUGUGUCACUUUUCUACCUUCCGAAGUCCACACACAAGCGCACAGAGCCCCAGACCCAAGGGCCUGAGCCCGGCCAGACGUUUGCGAGUCCCUGCUAUCCGGCGACGGUUUCCUUCCCAGGCAGCCUAAGCCCCCUUCUUCCCUGACCUACCUGAAGACAGGACCACGGAGUGGACCACCAUCUGCACCUGGCGUGGGGAGUGUGCGUCCUGAGCAGAGCGUCCCGCAGAGGGAGUGGGGACCCCGUGGGCUGCGGAGGCGGGUCGGCAGCACCAUCUGUACAUAAAGGUCAUUCAUCCCCACGUGUUUUCAGCUGGCGUCAGCGUGUGUGUGUGUGUGUGUGCGCGUGUGUGCGUGUGCGUGCACGCGCACGCCCACGCGCUGCCUUUCUACCACAUGUAAUCAGUUUAAUGGUAACUUUAUUUAUUUAAAAAAGAAACACAGAUAGUUACUAUCAAACUGAUUAAGGCUGUUUAUUUUUACUGUUAGAACUGGUCCUAUGAGUGAGCAGACAGUAGGCUGAGGGCUGGUUUCCUUUUAUACGUGUGUGUGUGUGUGUGUGUGUGUGUGUGUGUGUCGGGGGACACAUGCUUCAUACACACACACACACACACACACAUAGAUGAUGUGCUUAACCACUGCCUUUUAAAACUUUAAAUUAAAUAAAACAUCGGGGUUGAUUCAA